rnacentral:rRNA from 1 species
UACGGAGGAUGCAAGCGUUAUCCGGAUUCAUUGGGUUUAAAGGGUGCGUAGGCGGCUUUUUAAGUCAGUGGUGAAAUCUUGCCGCUUAACGGUAAAAUUGCCAUUGAUACUGACAAGCUUGAGUACAUUUGAGGUAAGCGGAAUGUGUAGUGUAGCGGUGAAAUGCUUAGAUAUUACACAGAACACCAAUUGCGAAGGCAGCUUACUAAACUGUUACUGACGCUGAUGCACGAAAGCGUGGGGAGCGAACAGG